CAGAGGGAUAGCAUCGGGAAACUGAUAUUAAGACCUCAUAACGCAUCCAUAUCACAUGAUGAGGAUGCCAAAGAUUUAUCGGCAAGGGAUGGGCCUGCGUCUGAUUAGUUAGUUGGUGAGGUAACGGCUCACCAAGGCAGCGAUCAGUAGCCGACCUGAGAGGGUGAUCGGCCACAUUGGAACUGAGACACGGUCCAGACUCCUACGGGAGGCAGCAGUGGGGAAUAUUGCACAAUGGGGGAAACCCUGAUGCAGCAACGCCGCGUGAGCGAUGAAGGCCUUUGGGUCGUAAAGCUCUGUCCUUGGGGAAGAAAAAAAUGACGGUACCCUUGGAGGAAGCCCCGGCUAACUACGUGCCAGCAGCCGCGGUAAUACGUAGGGGGCGAGCGUUAUCCGGAAUCAUUGGGCGUAAAGGGUGCGUAGGUGGCGGCCUAAGCGCAGGGUUUAAGGCUACAGCUUAACUGUAGUUCGCCUUGCGAACUGGGUUGCUUGAGUGCAGGAGAGGAAAGCGGAAUUCUAGUGUAGCGGUGAAAUGCGUAGAUAUUAGGAGGAACACCAGUGGCGAAGGCGGCUUUCUGGACUGUAACUGACACUGAGGCACGAAAGCGUGGGGAGCAAACAGGAUUAGAUACCCUGGUAGUCCACGCCGUAAACGAUGAGCACUAGGUGUCGGGGUCGCAAGACUUCGGUGCCGGAGUUAACGCAUUAAGUGCUCCGCCUGGGGAGUACGCACGCAAGUGUAAAACUCAAAGGAAUUGACGGGGACCCGCACAAGCAGCGGAGCAUGUGGUUUAAUUCGAAGCAACGCGAAGAACCUUACCAGGGCUUGACAUCCUUCUGACCGGUCCUUAAUCGGACCUUUCUUCGGACAGAAGAGACAGGUGGUGCAUGGUUGUCGUCAGCUCGUGUCGUGAGAUGUUGGGUUAAGUCCCGCAACGAGCGCAACCCUUGUCAUUAGUUGCCAUCAUUCAGUUGGGCACUCUAGUGAGACUGCCGGGGACAACUCGGAGGAAGGUGGGGAUGACGUCAAAUCAUCAUGCCCUUUAUGUCCUGGGCUACACACGUGCUACAAUGGCCGGUACAAAGAGCAGCAAGACCGCGAGGUGGAGCAAAUCUCAAAAACCGGUCCCAGUUCGGAUUGCAGGCUGCAACCCGCCUGCAUGAAGUCGGAGUUGCUAGUAAUCGUGGUUCA
rnacentral:rRNA from 1 species